rnacentral:rRNA from 1 species
UACGGGGGGGGCAAGCGUUGUUCGGAAUUACUGGGCGUAAAGGGCGCGUAGGCGGUAGCACAAGUCAGUUGUGAAAUCUCCGGGCUUAACUCGGAAAGGUCAACUGAUACUGUGCGACUAGAGUGCAGAAGGGGCAACUGGAAUUCUCGGUGUAGCGGUGAAAUGCGUAGAUAUCGUAAGGAAGACCAGUGGCGAAGGCGGGUCUCUGGACAGUUCCUGACGCUGAGGCACGAAGGUCAGGGGAGCAAACGGG